UACGGAGGGUGCGAGCGUUGUCCGGAAUCAUUGGGCGUAAAGGGCGCGUAGGUGGCUUCUCAAGCGUGCGGUGAAAGCCUGGGGCUCAACCCCGGGUCGGCCGUGCGAACUGGGGGGCUUGAGCACUGUAGAGGCAGGCGGAAUUCCGGGUGUAGCGGUGGAAUGCGUAGAGAUCCGGAAGAACACCGGUGGCGAAGGCGGCCUGCUGG
rnacentral:rRNA from 1 species